GACGAACGCUGGCGGCGUGCCUAAUACAUGCAAGUUGAGCGAUGAAGCUUGGUGCUUGCACCAAUUUGAAGAGCAGCGAACGGGUGAGUAACGCGUGGGGAAUCUGCCUUUGAGCGGGGGACAACAUUUGGAAACGAAUGCUAAUACCGCAUAACAACUUUAAACAUAAGUUUUAAGUUUGAAAGAUGCAAUUGCAUCACUCAAAGAUGAUCCCGCGUUGUAUUAGCUAGUUAGUGAGGUAAAGGCUCACCAAGGCGAUGAUACAUAGCCGACCUGAGAGGGUGAUCGGCCACAUUGGGACUGAGACACGGCCCAAACUCCUACGGGAGGCAGCAGUAGGGAAUCUUCGGCAAUGGACGAAAGUCUGACCGAGCAACGCCGCGUGAGUGAAGAAGGUUUUCGGAUCGUAAAACUCUGUUGGUAGAGAAGAACGUUGGUGAGAGUGGAAAGCUCAUCAAGUGACGGUAACUACCCAGAAAGGGACGGCUAACUACGUG
rnacentral:rRNA from 1 species